rnacentral:misc_RNA from 1 species
GAUGAAGAAUGUAGCGAAAUGCGAUAAGUAAUGUGAAUUGCAGAAUUCAGUGAAUCAUCGAAUCUUUGAACGCACAUUGCGCCCCCUGGUAUUCCGGGGGGCAUGCCUGUUCGAGCGUCAUUUCACCACUCAAGCCUCGCUUGGUAUUGGGCAACGCGGUCCGCCGCGUGCCUCAAAUCGACCGGCUGGGUCUUCUGUCCCCUAAGCGUUGUGGAAACUAUUCGCUAAAGGGUGCUCGGGAGGCUACGCCGUAAAACAAACCCAUUUCUAAGGUUGACCUCGGAUCAGGUAGGGAUACCCGCUGAACUUAAGCAUAUCAAUAAGCGGAGGA